rnacentral:rRNA from 1 species
AUGCCAUCCCCCCCCAACCUGUGCCAAAACCCUCCAGUUUGCUCAUACCACACCUGGAGAAGGUAUCAGGCACACACUCAUGUAKCCCAUAACACCUUGCUUUGCCACACCCCCACGGCCUUCAGCAGUGAUAAACAUUUAGCAAUGAGCCCAAGCUCGACUUAGCCACGGUUACAUAAGGUCGGUAAAUUCCGUGCCAGCCACCGCGGUUAUACGGAAGACCUUAAAUAAUUAGAUGCGGCGUAAAACGUGACUAGAAAUAAGUUCAAUAGAAGAAGCUAAAACUUGAAUUAAAGGCGUAAAACACCAAUAUCCAAAAGAAUCCCAUAAUGCUUCUCAUACUAAACAGCUUUGACCCCACGAAAACUAAGACCCAAACUAGGAUUAGAUACCCUACUAUGCUUAGUCGUAAACCCAGGCAAUCAUGCUCGCCAGAGAAUUACAAGUGAAAAACUUAAAACUCAAAGGACUUGACGGUGUUCCAUAUCAACCUAGAGGAGCCUGUCCUAUAAUCGAUACUCCGCGCUAAACCCAACCCUCCCUAGAAUACUCAGCCUAUAUACCGCCGUCGCCAGCCUACCUAACAACAGAAACAAAAGUAAGCACAAUAGUAUAUCACUAGCACGUCAGGUCAAGGUGUAGCUUAUGGUGGGGCAGAGAUGGGUUACAUUUUCUAACUAUCAGAAAACUCUACCGUAAGUCAUAUGAAAUAUUAAACUGAAAGGCGGAUUUAGCAGUAAAUUUGGACUACCUCUGCCCAAUUGAAUCAAGCCCUGGAACGCGUACACACCGCCCGUCACCCUCCUCAAAAUUUAUAUAAUCAAUAUAUAAACCACAACUAAACCAC